GAGGUUUCCAUUCAGACUGAUUUUAGCAGCCUUAUCUACGGGAACUAGUUAAGACCAUACAGGAGAGAAGGAGGGUGAAGACUGGAGAUAGAAGGACCAGCCUUUACCUGCAGGAGCCAUUGGUUCCUCUGAUUACUAAGGAGAAAAGCAAUCAGCAUGGGCUCACUGCUGCAGAUCCUGAUUCUGCCCCUGCCGGAGGAGCUUGGGAAGGAGAAAGCAGCCUUCCCAAUUGUAUUAAUGCACCUGAUGAGCACAGAUAUCCAGACCCUAAUCUGAACGUAGUUCUUCUGAGGAUAAUAAUGCCAUCUAGGACGAAGAUUGUCCUAAAACACUCCUGAGGAGAGCAGCAAUUGUUCCUGAGUGAAGCAUAAUCAGAAAGCUGGUUUGAACUGGGCUCAACUCUGAAUUGUGAUCGCCCAAAAUAACAGUGGCUUCAGCUGGCAGGAAUUUCUUCUCUCACCCAACAUGGCUAAGCCAGCUUGGCUAUGAUAGUUCCACAGAUACGAAACACCUAGGGUUCUUGUCUCUCCUGGCAUGUGCUUUGACUGCAGGGGCCAAGACAUCGCUUUGGGUUUCAUGAGUCAUUAUUGCCUCAUUUUUUUUUUCAACAGAAAGUUCAGGGUGCAUCUCAUGGCUCCAUCCUGUGAGGUGCACACAUGACUUCUGCUUGCAACCCACCAGCCAGAUAUUACGUCAAUGGUCACAUGACAGUAGCGGAAGCUAGAUCUUAGACGAAGCAGUGGCCCUGCUGUCUUUGAAAUGAGAACUGAAGUGGUUUGAAUAUGUAUUUGUUUAAUACUGAAGAUGACUUUUCAGAUUCUAGGGAUGAGAAUCUCAAGCCUGGAAAAACAGGAAAGCAUUGAUUGAGCGAUGGAUUCGUAUUCUUUCCUUUUGAGCUCUGGCAGCCACCAGUUAUUAUGACACAUCAGACACGCCAUGCUUUGGAGCCCCAGAUGGCAUCACACACACUCACACACCUUGAUUUGUAGUCCCUGUUGACCACAAACUUACAAUACCCCUCCACCCCUGCCACGUAAGCUUCUCUAAUGCUGGAUUUAUAUCCUGCUUUAUUAUUUAUUUAUUUUGGUGCUGAGAGUUGCACCCACGGUCUUGCACACACAGAGCCAAGUCUAUGGCUGAGCCACCCCCACGGUUCACUUCGAGACUCGUAAACGAGUUGUUCCCACUUAGCUUUGUCUUCUCAGCUGUUCUCAUGACACUUCAGGAGCUUCGCUAGCUCAGCCAGCAGCUGCGGUUCUAGACAGUCUGCUUCAAGAGCAUUUCUGUCACUGAAGAAAGUCCAGUUCGUGUUUCGCACUCCUGAGAGCCCAGAGGCCAAACUGAGCAGGCAGCGCGCUGCAGCACUCUGAAAAUGAGUAUUUAUUGCCCAAAAUAUAUUAAAAUAUCAACUGAGAGAGAUGGCUCAGUGAUUCAAAUCACUUGCUCUUCUUCCAGGGGUGAGUUCAGAUUCCCAACACCCAUGUCAGGUGGCUCA